UACAGGGGGGGCAAGCGUUGUUCGGAAUUACUGGGCGUAAAGGGCUCGUAGGUGGCCAACUAAGUCAGACGUGAAAUCCCUCAGCUUAACUGGGGAACUGCGUCUGAUACUGGAUGGCUUGAGUUUGGGAGAGGGAUGCGGAAUUCUACGUGUAGCGGUGAAAUGCGUAGAGAUGUGGAGGAACACCAGUGGCGAAGGCGGCUUUCUGGUCUGUAACUGACGCUGCGGCGCGAAAGCGUGGGGAGCAAACAGG
rnacentral:rRNA from 1 species